rnacentral:rRNA from 1 species
AACGAACGCUGGCGGCAUGCCUAACACAUGCAAGUCGAACGAGACCUUCGGGUCUAGUGGCGCACGGGUGCGUAACGCGUGGGAAUCUGCCCUUGGGUUCGGAAUAACAGUUAGAAAUGACUGCUAAUACCGGAUAAUGUCUUCGGACCAAAGAUUUAUCGCCCAGGGAUGAGCCCGCGUAGGAUUAGCUAGUUGGUGAGGUAAAGGCUCACCAAGGCGACGAUCCUUAGCUGGUCUGAGAGGAUGAUCAGCCACACUGGGACUGAGACACGGCCCAGACUCCUACGGGAGGCAGCAGUGGGGAAUAUUGGACAAUGGCGAAAGCCUGAUCCAGCAAUGCCGCGUGAGUGAUGAAGGGCCCUUAGGGUUGGUAAAGACUCUUUUACCCGGGUACUGAUAAUAGACAGUACCGGGAGAAUAAG